rnacentral:rRNA from 1 species
AGGAUGAACGCUAGCUACAGGCUUAACACAUGCAAGUCGAGGGGCAGCAUGGUCUUAGCUUGCUAAGGCCGAUGGCGACCGGCGCACGGGUGAGUAACACGUAUCCAACCUGUCGUCUACUCUUGGACAGCCUUCUGAAAGGAAGAUUAAUACAAGAUGGCAUCAUGAGUCCACAUGUUCACAUGAUUAAAGGUAUUCCGGUAGACGAUGGGGAUGCGUUCCAUUAGAUAGUAGGCGGGGUAACGGCCCACCUAGUCUUCGAUGGAUAGGGGUUCUGAGAGGAAGGUCCCCCACAUUGGAACUGAGACACGGUCCAAACUCCUACGGGAGGCAGCAGUGAGGAAUAUUGGUCAAUGGGCGAGAGCCUGAACCAGCCAAGUAGCGUGAAGGAUGACUGCCCUAUGGGUUGUAAACUUCUUUUAUAGAGGAAUAAAGUCGGGUAUGGAUACCCGUUUGCAUGUACUUUAUGAAUAAGGAUCGGCUAACUCCGUGCCAGCAGCCGCGGUAAUAUGGAGGAUCCGAGCGUUAUCCGGAUUUAUUGGGUUUAAAGGGAGCGUAGAUGGAUGUUUAAGUCAGUUGUGAAAGUUUGCGGCUCAACCGUAAAAUUGCAGUUGAUACUGGAUAUCUUGAGUGCAGUUGAGGCAGGCGGAAUUCGUGGUGUAGCGGUGAAAUGCUUAGAUAUCACGAAGAACUCCGAUUGCGAAGGCAGCCUGCUAAGCUGCAACUGACAUCGAGGCUCGAAAGUGUGGGUAUCAAACAGGAUUAGAUACCCUGGUAGUCCACACGGUAAACGAUGAAUACUCGCUGUUUGCGAUAUACAGCAAGCGGCCAAGCGAAAGCGUUAAGUAUUCCACCUGGGGAGUACGCCGGCAACGGUGAAACUCAAAGGAAUUGACGGGGGCCCGCACAAGCGGAGGAACAUGUGGUUUAAUUCGAUGAUACGCGAGGAACCUUACCCGGGCUUAAAUUGCAGAUGAAUUACGGUGAAAGCCGUAAGCCGCAAGGCAUCUGUGAAGGUGCUGCAUGGUUGUCGUCAGCUCGUGCCGUGAGGUGUCGGCUUAAGUGCCAUAACGAGCGCAACCCUUGUUGUCAGUUACUAACAGGUUCCGCUGAGGACUCUGACAAGACUGCCAUCGUAAGAUGUGAGGAAGGUGGGGAUGACGUCAAAUCAGCACGGCCCUUACGUCCGGGGCUACACACGUGUUACAAUGGGGGGUACAGAGGGCCGCUACCACGCGAGUGGAUGCCAAUCCCAAAAACCUCUCUCAGUUCGGACUGGAGUCUGCAACCCGACUCCACGAAGCUGGAUUCGCCAGUAAUCGCGCAUCAGCCACGGCGCGGUGAAUACGUUCCCGGGCCUUGUACACACCGCCCGUCAAGCCAUGGGAGCCGGGGGUACCUGAAGUGCGUAACCGCGAGGAGCGCCCUAGGGUAAAACUGGUGACUGGGGCUAA